GACGAACGCUGGCGGCGUGCCUAAUACAUGCAAGUUGAGCGCUGAAGGUUGGUACUUGUACCAACUGGAUGAGCAGCGAACGGGUGAGUAACGCGUGGGGAAUCUGCCUUUGAGCGGGGGACAACAUUUGGAAACGAAUGCUAAUACCGCAUAAAAACUUUAAACACAAGUUUUAAGUUUGAAAGAUGCAAUUGCAUCACCCAAAGAUGAUCCCGCGUUGUAUUAGCUAGUUGGUGAGGUAAAGGCUCACCAAGGCGAUGAUACAUAGCCGACCUGGGGGGGUGGUCGGCCACAUUGGGACUGGGACACGGCCCAAACUCCUACGGGAGGCAGCAGUAGGGAAUCUUCGGCCAUGGACGAAAGUCUGACCGCGCAACGCCGCGUGAGUGGAGGAGGUUUUCGGGUCGUAAAACUCUGUUGGUAGGGAAGAACGUUGGUGAGGGUGGAAAGCUCAUCAAGUGACGGUAACUACCCAGAAAGCGACGGCUAACUACGUG
rnacentral:rRNA from 1 species